rnacentral:rRNA from 1 species
GACGAACGCUGGCGGCGUGCUUAACACAUGCAAGUCGAACGGAAAGGCCCUGCUUUUGUGGGGUGCUCGAUUGGCGAACGGGUGAGUAACACGUGAGUAACCUGCCCUUGACUUUGGGAUAACUUCAGGAAACUGGGGCUAAUACCGGAUAGGAGCUCCUGCUGCAUGGUGGGGGUUGGAAAGUUUCGGCGGUUGGGGAUGGACUCGCGGCUUAUCAGCUUGUUGGUGGGGUAGUGGCUUACCAAGGCUUUGACGGGUAGCCGGCCUGGGAGGGUGACCGGCCACAUUGGGACUGAGAUACGGCCCAGACUCCUACGGGAGGCAGCAGGGGGGAAUAUUGCACAAUGGGCGGAAGCCUGAUGCAGCAACGCCGCGUGCGGGAUGACGGCCUUCGGGUUGUAAACCGCUUUCGCCUGUGACGAAGCGUGAGUGACGGUAAUGGGUAAAGAAGCACCGGCUAACUACGUG